ensembl:snRNA U6 U6 spliceosomal RNA
AUGCUCUCUUCGGUAGCCCAUAUACUAAAAUAGGAACAAUACAGAGAAGAUUAGCAUGGCCCCUGCACGAGGAUGACAUGCAAAUUCCUGAAGUGUUCCAUUUUUUU